rnacentral:misc_RNA from 1 species
CUCUGAUAUGAUACCUUCUACUAUUUUCAAUCAAAAUUUAAACAUGGCUGAUUUCCAAGAAUACGUGAUUCUUCUUCUCAUAUGGCUAGUCUCCAUGAUUGUGAUCAGAGUAAUACUUAACAAAAUUCGACCCACAGCUCAUCUUCCACCAAGCCCACCAGCCCUACCAAUCAUUGGACACCUCCAUCUCCUUGCUCCGAUACCUCAUCAAGCUCUCCACAAGCUUUCAACCAAGUAUGGACCCUUAAUUCACAUAUUCCUUGGCUCUGUCCCUUGUGUUGUUGCUUCCUCCCCUGAGAUGGCAAAAGAAUUCCUCAAAACACAUGAAACUUCUUUCUGUGAUCGUCCAAAAAUGUUUGCUGUAGAUUACCUCACAUAUGGCUCAGCUGAUUUCUCCUUUGCUCCUUAUGGACCAUACUGGAAAUUCAUGAAAAAAAUUUGUGUUUCUGAACUUCUUGGAGGUCAAAUGCUGGACCAGUUGCUUCCAGUCAGACACGAAGAGAUAAGGAGAUUUUUGCGUUUGAUGCUAAAGAAAGCAAAUGCAAGCGAGUCAGUUGAUGUUGGAAAACAGCUUAUAAGGGCAACUAAUAAUGUAAUAUCAAGAAUGACUAUGAGCCAAAGGUGUUCAGACAAUGAAGAUGAAGCUGAUGAGGUCAGGAAGUGGAUGCGAGAGAUCGCGGAACUUACAGGGAAGUUUAAUUUGUCAGACUUUAUUUGGUUCUGUAAGAACUUAGAUUUGCAGGGAUUUAACAGACGGCUGAAGGAAGUUCGUGACAAGUUUGACAAAAUGAUGGAGAGGAUCAUAGGAGAGCAUCAAGAGGCGAGGAAGAUAAAGAAAGAAACAGGGGGAGGAGAUUCAAUGAAAGAUUUACUAGAAAUUUUACUCGAUAUUUCAGAAGAUGCAAACUCGGAAAUGAAACUGACUAGAGAAAACAUCAAGGCCUUUAUUCUGGAUAUAUUUGCAGCAGGGACAGACACUUCAGCCAUUACUACAGAAUGGGCACUAGCAGAGCUAAUCAAUCACCCAGAUAUUAUGAAGAAAGCAAGAGAAGAGAUUGAUUCUGUAAUAGGAAAGAGCAGACUAGUAGAAGAAUCAGAUAUUCCUAACCUCCCAUACCUCCAAGCUAUAGUAAAGGAAACGCUAAGGCUUCACCCAACAGGCCCAUUAAUUGUGAGAGAAUCAACUGAAAAUUGCAGUAUAAAUGGAUACGAAAUUCCUGCAAGAACUCGACUUUUUGUGAAUGUGUGGGCUCUUGGAAGGGAUCCAAGCCACUGGGAAAACCCACUUGAAUUCUGGCCAGAAAGGUUUAUGAGUGAAGAGGGAAAUGGAAAGAGUCAGCUGGAUGUGAGGGGUCAGCAUUUCCAUUUGUUGCCAUUUGGAAGUGGAAGAAGAGGGUGCCCUGGAACCUCACUAGCACUGCAAGUGGUGCAGACAAGCCUUGCUGCUAUGAUUCAAUGCUUUGAAUGGAAGGUUAAUGGAGGGGAUGGUACUGUUGACAUGGAUGAGGGACCUGGACUAACCCUUCCAAGAGCGAAUCCUUUGAUUUGUGUUCCAGUUGCCAGGCUAAAUCCAUUCCCAUCGUUCUGACUCAUCACUGGGUAUUCAAAAUAAAAGGCUAAAAUGAAGAUGCAACACAAUGUUGUAUACUAUAAGCUUUUUGCAAAUGUUAUAAUUUAGCGCCUGUAUUUGUUAGGAAG